rnacentral:rRNA from 1 species
GUAGGGAAUAUUGCGCAAUGGACGAAAGUCUGACGCAGCGACGCCGCGUGAGUGAUGAAGGCCUUAGGGUCGUAAAGCUCUGUUGAAUGGGAAGAAAAAAAUGACGGUACCAUUCGAGGAAGGACCGGCUAACUUCGUGCCAGCAGCCGCGGUAAUACGAGGGGUCCUAGCGUUGUUCGGAAUCAUUGGGCGUAAAGGGUGUGUAGGUGGCCAUGUAAGUCAGGUGUGAAAGCCCCGGGCUCAACCCGGGAAGUGCACUUGAUACUGCAUGGCUUGAGUACCGAAGAGGGUAGUGGAAUUCCAGGUGUAGUGGUGAAAUACGUAGAUAUCUGGAGGAACACCGGUGGCGAAGGCGGCUACCUGGUCGAGUACUGACACUGAGACACGAAAGCAUGGGGAUCAAACAGGAUUAGAUACCCGGGUAGUCC